rnacentral:snRNA from 16 species
AUUGCACUGCGGCUGCGGUGAACUCUGUGGCUAUCCCAAACUGGGAUAGGUCAGCCGCAUAAUUUUUGAGUGUGGGACUGCGUUCGCGCUGUCCCUG